CCCAGAUGGAAGAGGAUGUCGUCAUAUAUCGGCAGAAUAAACAAGAGCUUCAGGCUGGGUAUAGAGGUGAUGCUGGGCAACCACAAGCCAAACAUGUGGCUAUUGACAACAUAAGACUGGUCGACUGUUUUAACCACAACCCCGGCCCGUUGGAGGUGUGUCAAGGCAUACGGUGUGGCACGGGCGAGUGUGUGAGGCGUAAUAACAUUUGUGACAUAACCAAGAACUGUCCGGGAGGCGAGGACGAGUCCACAUGUGCCCUGGAACCUGAAGGGUCUAGGUGACUUCGAGAGCGACUGGUGCGGCUGGAAGAACGCCGGUGACGAUCAUAUGGACUUCCACAGGCAUCACGGCAACACUCAGAAGGAACGUAC